AGUGGCAGACGGGUGAGUAAUGUAUAGGAAUCUACCUAGUAGUACGGAAUAAUUGUUGGAAACGGCAACUAAUACCGUAUACGCCCUACGGGGGAAAAAUUUAUUGCUAUUAGAUGAGCCUAUAUUAGAUUAGUUAGUUGGUGAGGUAAAGGCUUACCAAGACAAUGAUCUAUAGCUGAUCUGAGAGGAUGAUCAGCCACACUGGAACUGAGAUACGGUCCAGACUCCUACGGGAGGCAGCAGUGGGGAAUAUUGGACAAUGGGCGAAAGCCUGAUCCAGCCAUGCCGCAUGAGUGAAGAAGGCCUUCGGGUUGUAAAGCUCUUUUAGUGAGGAAGAUAAUGAAGGUACUCACAGAAGAAGUCCUGGCUAACUCCGUGCCAGCAGCCGCGGUAAUACGGAGAGGGCUAGCGUUAUUCGGAAUCAUUGGGCGUAAAGGGCGCGUAGGCGGGUUAGUAAGUUAAAAGUGAAAUCCCAAGGCUCAACCUUGGAACUGCUUUUAAAACUGCUAGUCUAGAGAUUGAAAGAGGAUAGAGGAAUUCCUAGUGUAGAGAUGAAAUUCGUAAAUAUUAGGAGGAACACCAGUGGCGAANGCGUCUAUCUGGUUCAAAUCUGACGCUGAGGCGCGAAGGCGUGGGGAGCAAACAGGAUUAGAUACCNUGNUAGUCCACGCUGUAAACGAUGAAUGUUAAAUAUGGGAAGUUUACUUUCUGUAUUAUGGCUAACGCGUUAAACAUUCCGCCUGGGGACUACNGUCGCAAGAUUAAAACUCA
rnacentral:rRNA from 1 species